UCCUCCACUCCGACGUUGGACCUGUAGGCAAACUGCUGCGGGCUUAAGGUGGCGAUCGCCACAGUUCUAAGGUGGGUGAGGAUAAGCCUCUCCAUGAUCUUCAUCAGAUGGGAGGUCAAGGCGAUUGGUCUGUACUGGACUUGUUCCUUGGCAUGUGUUGUUUUGGGAACCGGGAAUAUACUAGAGGUUUUCCAUAGGCCAGGGACCUUCUCUUCUCCAUACUGAGGCUCAGGUUGUACAUGUGGCUGAGGGCCUCACAGAGCUGGUCAGCAUGUCUUCAGCAGCCUGGGAGUGAUGCCAUUCGAACCUGCGGCCUUUCUGUGUUGUAGUGUCUUGCAUGGGGGGUUUUCAGAGGAUGUUGCGGUCAAGUGACCGCACCUCGUGAUCGCCAUCUUGGAUGGCUGCCUGCAGCCUGUUUCCGUUGUUUCAGUGUGAUCAGUGAAGCAAAACUCCGGACCAGUCUACCAUAACUAUAGUGAAAACUUGCUUAAUUGUGGGUUGUGCUGCGAGUGGUGGUUAAGACUGAUGUUCAUUCUAUCGUCUGCCAGCCGUGAUAGAAAAUCUGUGUGAGAAAACAAAAACACUGAGUACUCAUUGUCAACUACUGUGGCUGAAUCAAAUAUCCAGGGCGGAUUUGGAUAGCUUGAAUCUCAUUCACGCCUGAGUGUGCAGUGCACAUAUUGUGACAGGUAAAUAAAUGUGAUGCGCCACGAGAAAUCUAGGCGCAAGUCGGCAGAGCACAAAUGGAGAAAAUGACCAAAAACCAUCAAUUUCUGAGAAAAUAGUGAUUUUCAUUUUAUUGCCAAAUGCGCAAGUUGAAGUUAGGAAGUAACCACUCAGUACUCUAAAUGACAGUUUCAGAGGUUUCAAAACGGUACAUUUUGUGUUUAAACUCGGCUUGUUUUCAGCCUGAAACGCAGCCAGAAAGUAUUUACAUUUUGGGGAGGGGGAACCCAGAGCUCAUUUCUGUAGUGGCUUUGUUUGGCUCCGUGCUGGCUUUGUUUCUGCCUGUCAGACAAUAAACAGCUUGCUUCAAGAAACUGCAUGGCUAGUUCAGAUUCUGAAUAAGAAGGAGAUGAAGCUGAAGAAAUUGAUGAUAGCGACUGCAUUACUUUGGAGAACGUUUCAUGUCAACCCAAGAGGAGGAUGACAAAGAAAGCUUUGGACUGGAGGCUGAGGAGCUAGAACGUAAGAUAGCAGAAACUAUUGCCAUCACAACAUUUGAAGAAGACAGAGACAGUGAAAUGGAGAAGAUGAGUAACUUUGACUGUAAAUGCUACGGGAGAAGAAAGGAGAACUCUUCAGUUGGGACAUAGUCCUGUAGCCGCAAACUUUCUCCCGAGAGACACGCCAGGAUAACCUAUUUCAUUGGAGGCAUCAAAGUCUUCUGGAAUACCUUUCUGUUUCUGGUGAGUUUGAUGAAUGUUUUUAAAAAUUAAUAUACAUCAUAUUGUAAAUAAAUCAUGUAGCGAAGCAGACAAGUUCACAUAAACCUGACUAGUCAAAUAUUAAAAUCGACUUGAGUGUUUUUUUGUAUUUUUAAGCUUGACGUUUUUUUUUUUCUUUCCCCUGUGCUAGCCUGCUAAAAGAAAUAUUUAUCUAUUUCUUUAUGACUUUGAACAGCAGGUAUCCGUCAUUGCACUUUUUCCUAAUAAACUACAAACAUAAGACUGCUUUAACGAUACACAGCUUUUGUUUAAUCUAAUCCUUGUUUUUCUUGUUUUCAUCAGAUGCACUUCCCCUCGAAACCACUGCAGCCUGGGCCAAUGUACUUCCUGACACCAUGGAAAUGUGGACUUUUUGGUGUCUCUUGUGAAGGCCUGCAGAAACAGGUAGUGGAAAACAGCUCUCCUGAAAGUCGCCUCAACAUCCCACAGCUGGUUGGACUAGAAGAUGGCGCGGUGGUAGUCAAGACGUUCAACUGGCAGGCACACCUGAGUCCCUACUUCCGAAAGCUCCCAUAGAUCAAGAGUUAUCAGCACUUCACUUUGAUGCCAACAGACCUGGUGUGGUCCAAGCUAGGAAUCACAGCGACCAGAGCCUUUCAGCUGCUGUGUGACCCGGAAGUUCUAACCCCCGUCGCCUGUGUUCCUGCCCUGUGUGCACCAGGACUGGCCAUGGACAGACAGA